rnacentral:rRNA from 1 species
AUUGAACGCUGGCGGCAUGCCUUACACAUGCAAGUCGAACGGUAACAGGUCUUCGGAUGCUGACGAGUGGCGAACGGGUGAGUAAUACAUCGGAACGUGCCUAGUAGUGGGGGAUAACUACUCGAAAGAGUGGCUAAUACCGCAUGAGAUCUACGGAUGAAAGCAGGGGAUCGCAAGACCUUGUGCUACUAGAGCGGCCGAUGGCAGAUUAGGUAGUUGGUGGGAUAAAGAGCUUACCAAGCCGACGAUCUGUAGCUGGUCUGAGAGGACGAUCAGCCACAAUGGGACUGAGGCACGGCCGUGACUCCUACGGGAGGCAGCAGUGGGGAAUUUUGGACAAUGGGCGCAAGCCUGAUCCAGCAAUGCCGCGUGCAGGAUGAAGGCCUUCGGGUUGUAAACUGCUUUUGUACGGAACGAAAAGCCCUGGGUUAAUACCCUGGGGUCAUGACGGUACCGUAAGAAUAAGCACCGGCUAACUACGUGCAGCCGCCGCCGUAACAC